GACGAACCGUGCUAACAUUGUUCGGAAUCACUGGGCUUAAAGGGCGCGUAGGCGGGCAGGCAAGUCGAAGGUGAAAUCCCACGGCUCAACCGUGGAAGUGCCCCCGAUACUGCUUGUCUGGAGGGAGAUAGGGGCGUGCGGAACUUCCGGUGGAGCGGUGAAAUGCGUAGAUAUCGGAAGGAACACCGGUGGCGAAAGCGGCGCGCUGGAUCUCUUCUGACGCUGAGGCGCGAAAGCCAGGGAGCGAACGGG
rnacentral:rRNA from 1 species